rnacentral:rRNA from 1 species
GAGUUUGAUCCUGGCUCAGAACGAACGCUGGCGGCGCGCCUAACACAUGCAAGUCGAGCGGUUAAAGCUCCUUCAGGAGUGUAUAAAGCGGCGGACGGGUGAGUAAGGCAUAGGUGACCUGCCCUGAAGAGGGGGAUAGCCUGAGGAAACUCGGGUUAAUACCGCGUAAGCUACCCAAGUGAAUAUUGGUUAGUAAAGGCUUCGGCCGCUUUAGGAUGGGCCUAUGUAUGAUUAGCUAGUUGGUAAGGUAAAAGCUUACCAAGGCUACGAUCAUUAGCUGGUCUGAGAGGAUGAUCAGCCACACUGGAACUGAGACACGGUCCAGACUCCUACGGGAGGCAGCAGUGAGGAAUUUUGCGCAAUGGGGGAAACCCUGACGCAGCGACGCCGCGUGGAGGAUGAAGUCUUUCGGGAUGUAAACUCCUGUCAGUGGGGAUGAUAGUGACAGUACCCACAGAGGAAGCACCGGCUAACUCCGUGCCAGCAGCCGCGGUAAGACGGAGGGUGCGAGCGUUGUUCGGAAUUACUGGGCGUAAAGCGUACGUAGGCGGUUGGUUAAGUCAAAUGUUAAAGCCCGGAGCUCAACUCCGUGGUCGCAUUUGAUACUGGCUAACUAGAGGGUGGCAGAGGAAAGCGGAAUUCCCAGUGUAGCGGUGAAAUGCGUAGAUAUUGGGAGGAACAUCAGUUGCGAAGGCGGCUUUCUGGACCAUUCCUGACGCUGAGGUACGAAAGCGUGGGUAGCAAACAGGAUUAGAUACCCUGGUAGUCCACGCUGUAAACGAUGGAUACUAGGUGUAGCGGGUAUCGACCCCUGCUGUGCCGUAGCUAACGCGUUAAGUAUCCCGCCUGGGGAGUACGCACGCAAGUGUGAAACUCAAAGGAAUGACGG